GCUCCCGCGGACUCUGCAAGCCGGGAUUGGUGCCCUCCCCUGAGUUCAGGCAAGGAGGAUUCUUGCCUUGUUCAAAUUGUUACAAAGUUCAGCUACAGAAUUCCUUCUCCCUGUGGAGUUUUACCUCAGGCUCCUCUGACCACCCUCCUGAUGAAUCCCUGUGGUGCUAGGCAGGAAUGGGCUGCCUGGGGAUCCAGUGAGCUCCCAGGGCCUGUCUGCUGCUUCCUCUACUGCUGUAUUUCACUCGCCUUGGCUCUUCAACUUGACCCAGCUCCAGCUCCAAAAAGAAAUUAUGAAAACCUGGGACUACAUCUGUGGCAGCGGUAAAGGAGAGAAGAUAAAAGGCUGAAGAAAAGAGCAACAGGCGUUAGUGAUUCUGAUAAAGAGGAAACAAGCAAAGCAUUGGCAAGUAAGAGAAAGAAAGAAGAUAUACGAACAUUAUGAUACCCAGGACUCAAGUAUUGUGUUCCUUUGUCCACUUAGACCCUAAUCUAAGAAUGUUAACUUACCCCAUCUCCUUACCCUUGACUCUCUUUGUGUAUUUCAAAUUGAUUCAGUAAACUAUAUGAUACAAGUAUCUUAAUUGGCCCCUAAACCUUUCUGCUCUUUGAUCUCUGAGAUAACGUGCUUCAUAGUACACUUAGAAGCUACCAUUGCCUCAAGGUGAUUCCCUGCAUGAUUGGUCUGGUCUGGAGGACUAUAAUCAUUCAGGUAUUUGAGGAUCAGAUAGCCUAACUAGACCCCAAUUACUUUUUAACACAGUAAAUUUAAUGUAUAUAAGUUUCCAACAAAUGUAAAACCCCAUAAGACAAAAUCAAGCCUCUACCUUCAAAAUACUAGAAGUUACCUCUUUGUAUAUGCUUCUGAAAAUUUAUGAUAUAAAUUUUGCCUUUGAGGGCAAAAACCAUACCCUAUUUAUCUUUGUAUCUCCAUACCUAGCUGAACACCUGUAAUAGUGCACUCAUUGUAUUUUUGUUGAAUUAAAAAAUAAGCUUCAGUGCAUUUUCGAAAUGCAUAUAUUUACAUAAUAAUAUUUAUAUGCUGACUCUGACAAAGCUCAUUAUUAGAUUGAAUAACCAAAUUUAUUUAAAAUUGUACGGAUUAAACCAUUCAUCCAGACAGAGAUUGUUGUGGAAAAAAACUGAAUUCCUCCUGGACAGGAUGACAGAAUGAAAAUGACUUAAAUGACACAUUGGUUCAAGACCCCAGGAUCAAUGAACCUCAGUUUGGUUUUCAGCAGAUUAUGACAACGAUCCCAAAUUCUCUAUUCAUUGUCAAAGUAAGUUAGCAAGCAGAUGUGAUGCUGUGUAAAUGUGGAAAAGUAAAUCCAUGUCACACAUGCUGUGUUUGUUCAGGAACAGCGGAGCAGAUAAGUGAUGUGAGUGUCUAGGUAAAGUCAAGCCCCAGCACAUGAGAAAAACAGAGAGAAAACAAAAUGAGAGUCUUUUUGUUUCUUCAUCUGGGAAGAUGUUGAAGUCUGAGACAUGUUAGAUACAUUAUGGUUUGUUCAGACAACAAAAUAUUUUCAGUUGUUUAAAAGAUGAAAAACAACUUAUGAACUGAUUUAGAACAAUCUAUCAGAUACAUUGCCAAGCAAAAAAAUAAUAAGGUGAGAAGCAGACUGUAGGUCCUGCUAAUAUUUUGUGCAUAAGGUUUUCUGGAAGAAUACACAGUAUGUUGAUUACACUCAUUAGAGUGGUUGACUUUAGGAAGGAAAACUGGGUUGGAUAAGAUAUGGUAGAAAGCAAACUAGUUUUUUGAUUUUGCAUAUGUUUUAAAUUUUUUAUAAUUUUUCAAGCAUUAUGGUGUCAAAAAGGCAAAAUGGAGUAAAAUAAGUAAAAGAAUUUUUAAAAUUUAAAGUCACUUUUUUUCUAAAAUGUUCUUUCAUCAGGGUAUGUAAAACUCAGUGCAGUAAACAAACGUAUUUCCACACGUUUAUGUCCAUAGCACAUUGCGCAUUGGAGGGUUUUUAAUUUACUAUCUAUUAAGCCUCCCAAAACAGGAUAAGAGAUUACCAUUUCUGAUUAUGUUGCGCAUAAGGUUAUAUAUUUAGAGUGCUUUUCUCUUGAUUUAAUAAAUAUGCCACAUAGUCCAUUAACUCACUAAGCCCUAUUCAACUCCAAAGUUUCCAAUAUACCUGAUUUCACAAAUGAAAAAAUGUAAAAAAAUAAAAACCUUGACUCACAAAAACAAUAUAGAGAAGAAAAUAAAAGACAUGCACCUUGGUUUUCUCAUCUAUAAAAUGGGAAUGAUAAAAGUAUUUAGCCUGACAAUAAUGUACAUGUAAAAUUCAUAAUAAAUGGUAGUUGUAACUAAUGUAACUUAAAGGUCACAUGAAGAGAUGCUUGUUCUGUGUAAGUAUUUAUGUCCAGAAAACAUAAGCUUAUUGUUUCAUUUAAAUAAAACUGUAAAUGCCUAAU